rnacentral:rRNA from 1 species
UGGCGAACGGUCGCGUAACACGUGGUCAACCUUCCCUACAGGUGGGGAUAACUAGCCGAAAGGUUAGCUAAUACCGCAUAACAUCUACGAGCGGCAUCGUUUGUAGAUCAAAGGAGCAAUCCGCUGAAGGACGGGACCGCGUCCCAUUAGUUAGUUGGUGGGGUAAUGGCCUACCAAGACUCCGAUGGGUAGCUGGUUUGAGAGAGCGACCAGCCACACUGGGACUGAGAAACGGCCCAG